UUUUUCAGUAAGGAGUUUGGCUUCUGCCACCUAUUGCGUUCCUAUCGUCCUUGAUACUCGUGGACACCUGGAGCCACCCGCCCAGCUCAGUCACUGUGCAGUGGAGUCUGCUGGAGGCCUGGCGAGUUCUGGAGUACAAAACCUGAAAUCCGUAUCACUGGGAGGAAAUCAGCAUGUCCGCAAAGCUUUGCUCUUUUUGGAGGCUUUACAGGCUAUUCCUUCCUGCCUCUUCCAGCUCCUGACGUCUCCUGAAACUCCUUGGCUCUUGGCUGUAUCAUUCUAAACAUCAAGAAUAUACUAUUGUAUAUUUAGAAGUGGAAAAUCUUUUUUCCCUCUACCCAUCUUUGACUCAUUGGCUGCCCUGGAAAUUGAAAAAGAUUGACAAAAGACAGAUUAACAGGACUGAGAAAAAAAUUAAAAAGUUGUUUAUUAACCUCUGUGUGCAUCUUCAAGCACAUGGAAGUACCUAGCGGUGACCGUUUCUACUGCCACGAGUUUCAUCUCCGUCAAUAUGCCGAUUAUAUCUAGGGUCCUCUGUCCAUUGCUGACUUGUGAUCUCCACUAAGAUAUCUAAAAAGUACCUGAAAUUUAACAUUUCUGAAAUAAAACUGACCCUGCAUCUUCCCCUACUGGGUUAAUAGAAUUACCACAUAUCUGAUUGCUUAAGCCCAAGAGAUGACAAUAAACUUGAAUACUCUAUUCAUCUUAUAAGCCAAAAUUAUUACAAUAGUCUAACAGUCCUACGAGUAUUUCUUCCAAAAUAUAAUGUGACUUCAUGCCAAACACUACCGUAGCUCGACUUGUAUUACUGUGACUUGUAUUCCUGUGUCUUAGUCUGGGCUGCUAUAACAAAAUGACAGAGACUAGGUCAAAUAAACAAUGCAUUUUUCUCAAAAUUCUGGAGGUUGAGAAGUCCAAGUUAAUAUUAGGUGUCUGGUGAAAGCCUUGCUUCCUAGUUCAUAGAUAGGCCUUCUCACUAUAACCUUACAUGGCCAAGCAAGAUAGAAAUAAUCUGUCUUACAUAUUUUCUCAUAAGGGCAUUAAUCCCUUUAAAAUAUCUUCAUAGUCAUGAUUUAAUUAUCUCUCAUGGGCCCACCACCAAAUAAAACCACAUUGGGGAUUAGGAAUUCAACAUAUGAAUUUUGGGGAGGACACAAAUAUUCAGUGCAUAGAACCUUGCUUCUACCUCUUUGUAAUAAACUCUUCUUCACAUAUAUUUGUUCAACUUAAAAAGAGCAUAGGAUUUGAACACAGACUAUGGCAUUCAUACCCUGACCAUUUUUAUGAGUUGUGCAACUUUGGGGGAAAUUUCUUAAUCUUUCAAAACCUCCAUUUCUUCACCCAGAAAUAAUAAUAGUACCUUUUAACAGGGAUUUUUGAGAAACAUUUUAAUGUGGGUCAAGCCCUUAGGACAGUGUUUUGUAAAUGACAGGCUUAAUUAAAGUUAACUUUUGGAGACCUUUUGAAAUAGUUUUACCCUAGCAAAAAUCCCUCCAAACUGCUUACCAGUAAUUUCCUAUACUAACCACAUCCUACACCAAUCUCAGUAAUCCAGAUUUUCUUUGUGUUCCACAAAUACUUUAGGAAUCUUCCUACCUGAUUACAUUGCCCUUCUGCCAGGGACAUUCUUCCAUCAGAUCUUUUGUAUGCUCUCUCCUUUUACUCAGGCCCCAGCUCAAAUGCCAUUUCCUUGAGUGGUUAAGUCUUGACCUCAAUGUCUAAUAGUCUUGUCACAUUUACACAGUGGGACAUGUGUCUUAUUUACACAGUUUCAUGUUUAAAAUAAAUCAUAUUACCAUCUAAAAUUAGUGAUUAUUAAUUUAGUGAUUAAUUAGUGAUUGUUUUUUGCCUCAUCUAUUCCCUGCACUAAAGCAGUGCAUGUCAUACUGUAGAACCACCAUGAAUAUUUGUUGAAAGAAUCGAUAUAUGAAUAUAUGAAUGAAUAGCUUGAUGAAUAAAAGUGACAUAAAUCUCAUCCACUAAGACCUUAAAAUGAGCCUUUAUGACCACUUUGGUCAGUUCUCAGAGAUCAUGUUCCUUAAUCAGAGAUUCUGCUAUACACUAUAAUUUACCCUUUCAACUCUUUAAAACCAUGUCCACUUCUAAAGAUGAUUUACUGGAUAUAUGAGAGAUUUUAUCUUAUUUGGGGAAUUCCAGGCCAGAAAUAUAUCUAUAAAAUUUUCAUAUGAAUGUUGAAAAAGUAAUAUUGAUAAAAUAGCUAAUUUCCCAAUUUAUUUUCUUGAUCAGGAGUGUUUCAAAUAAUAGUAAUGAUGCUUAGAUGCAUUCUUUCUUCAGUUAGUAAAUUGUUGUUUAUAGAAAAGAAAACCAUCUACUUACAAAGAGGUGAAAAUAAA